AAAGAGAGGAAAAUAUAUGAAUUGAUUCAUUUUAAGUGCAUGAUACUAUGUGCUGAGCCAAUUAAUACAUUAAUUAAACAUAUACUAAAAAAAAUGCCACCCAAAUCGAAUGAUUUUGCGUGCAUAAUGAAAAAAAGGUAUUUUAAAAUACCUUGUUUGGGUGAUUUUUUUUUUUCUUUUUGUUGGGUUUCUUUGUUUACCAGGUUUCGAACUCUGCCCGAAGGGAUUAAAUGUCAAGCACUUAACCUUUAGGACAAGAGUCUAGCCGGUAACAUGUGUGGCAUAUUUUAUAACUUUAUUCCUAGAUACAGUAGAUGCAAAUGCAGCAUUUCAAAAUCC
rnacentral:lncRNA from 1 species